rnacentral:tRNA from 1 species
GCCCCGGUAGCUCAGCAGGAUAGAGCAGCCGCCUCCUAAGCGGCAGGUCGGACGUUCAAAUCGUCUCCGGGGCACCA